AAUAUUGCACAAUGGGCGCAAGCCUGAUGCAGCCAUGCCGCGUGUAUGAAGAAGGCCUUCGGGUUGUAAAGUACUUUCAGCAGUGAGGAAGGUGGGUAUGUUAAUAGCAUACUCAUUUGACGUUAGCUGCAGAAGAAGCACCGGCUAACUCCGUGCCAGCAGCCGCGGUAAUACGGAGGGUGCGAGCGUUAAUCGGAAUUACUGGGCGUAAAGCGCAUGCAGGUGGUUUGUUAAGUCAGAUGUGAAAGCCCGGGGCUCAACCUCGGAAUUGCAUUUAGAAACUGGACAAACUAGAGUACUGUAGAGGGGGUAGAAUUUCAGGUGUAGCGGUGAAAAUGCGUAGAGAUCUGAAGGAAUACCGGUGGCGAAGGCGGCCCCCUGGACAGAUACUGACACUCAGAUGCGAAAGCGUGGGGAGCAAACAGGAUUAGAUACCCUGGUAG
rnacentral:rRNA from 1 species